rnacentral:rRNA from 1 species
UACAGAGGUCCCAAGCGUUGUUCGGAUUCACUGGGCGUAAAGGGUGCGUAGGCGGCCAGGUAAGUCUGCUGUGAAAUCCCGCAGCUCAACUGCGGAACUGCAUUGGAAACUAUCUGGCUAGAGGAAUGGAGGGGAGACUGGAAUUCUCGGUGUAGCAGUGAAAUGCGCAGAUAUCAGGAGGAACACCUAUUGCGAAGGCAGCUCGCUGGGACGUAACUGACGCUGAGACGCGAAAGCGUGGGGAGCAAACAGG